rnacentral:lncRNA from 1 species
GAGAAAAUAACAUAUUUAGGCGUUGCAACCUGCACUGUUUUAGCAAUUUAUAACCUAUCAAAGGGUCAUUCCCAUCAUGAAGAGCCUACUGUGAGCUUACUUUCUUUCUGUUUAAUUUUAGUUAUUUUUUUAAUUUUUGGAUGCUGCUGUUAUUAUUUAUAGGUAUGUUCUACAAUUUACAUUUACACUUCAAAGGUACAUUAUUUUUUCGUAACUGAUUAUUGGAUACAUCGUCUUGUGUGAAUAUUUGCAGCCGUACUCAUAUUUGCACAUUCGCAACAAAGAGUUCCCUUGGGGUAUGUUAUCCUAAUUGUUAUGAAUUUCAAUUUAUUUAGGCUUUAUUUGAAUUUUGUUUUUGGUGUUUAAUUUUGCUGUUUAGGCUCUAUUGGGUCUUUCCAAGUCAACUAAUGACAUAACUGGAUUUUCUUUUGCUUUUCCUUCUUUUCCGUCAUUUGCUUAAAAGUUUUGGAAUGGAAGGAAUUCUAGACAAUUUUAGAGAAUUAGGUUCUGUUCAGAACCAAAAUCAAAUGGAAUUCUACUGACUUUGGUUGAUUGGAAAUAAAUUCAAUUCAUUUUGUUCAAAUCACUUGCUUUUUUAAGCAUCUAUACUUUAUCUUAGGCAAAUUAUAUAGACUUAAAAUCACCAGAUCAUAAUGAUGAUGUGCACGUUAAAUAAUAUGGAAAUCUGCUAACUGCCAACCAAUUAUGAUUGGCCUUUUUUAACUUAAUUUGGUUACUGCUAAUUAUUAGUUUUCCAUGUUCUACCCAUAAAAGAAUGGUGAAUUUUUUUUUCUGAUUCCUGUCUCUCACACUCACUCUCUCUUUGCAGUUCUAUAAAAGAUUAGUAGUGGAAACGUUGUUAUAUGUUGAAUGUUUACCUCCUAGUGUAUGUUAGAUUAUUCUUUACAAGUUACAAACAGGUUGAAAAUUUUCUCUUAUGUGGAAUACUAGGUGAAAUUCCCUAUCAGCCUAUCUUUACAUUUGUUGGUUUUAGAUAUACAACAGAGCAUUUGAAUUGUCAUUCCAUGCCUAAGUCCUUAAUAAAUUGCUAAGGCUAUGAUUCACCGUAAGACCUGGUGUAAAAUUCAUUUUCAUUCAAUCAUAUUACAAUUACAUCAUUGGAUUUAGCUGUCUCUAAUUUUAUCUUGUUUUAACCAACCUAAGGAUCUUAUAAAUGACAGAAUUCAAGUUUUUGCUAUGUUCCAUUUUGUGUUUUCAAAUUUCAUAAAGUGUUGAUGAAAAUCUUUCUUUUUUCUUUUCCUUUUUCAAGAUAAUAGAAAGUUUAACUACUGUUAGUUUACUGGUUGCAGAGUUUGAAAAUCAUAUUGCAAUGAACUAUCAAAAAUCACCAUAGUUCUUAUUCGUAAAGUAUUAUACCUAGGCCAUUGCUUAUUUAUAAUAAUUUAAGAGUUUUUGGGCCUUGUCAAGCAUUGGGUCGUCCCUUUGUAACUGUAUUUUGAAUCUCAGAAAAUAUUAGCAUGUAUUUUUUUUUUGUUGUGAUUGAUAAGCCUAUUUAAAUAAACAUGUUGAUGAGUGAUCAUUGAAUCUAGUUGCAAAAUUUAGUGCUAUCAUUUGAAAUAUGUAAUUAUGCUUUUCAAUAUUGGAAGUGGAUUAAUGUCUGGUCAAGGAUGGUAUAAAUUAAGUUUAUUAUUCACAUUAUUUAUUUAUAUUGGUUGAUUCACUCUUUUUAUCAUUUUAUUAUGGUAUUCAGGUCCAGAUGGUCUGUUUGAGAAGAAGAUGCAUCACUAGGAUGGCCGAUGGGCUGUUGGACUUGAACAAAAAUAUCAUUCCAAGUUUAGCACACUUCUUAACUUUUCAGACAUAUCAAUCAGAUAACUAUGGAUCUUUUCUUGGAUGUUAAUGUUUUCAAGACUUGCAUUGCAAGUUCAUUAGGCUUUCUAUAUGGUUGUCUGCCAUACUCUGUUUCGAACUAAUAAGAUUAAUGAAUGGUUUGGAUCAAUUUUCUUUACACCUCACUUUCUUAUAUAUUCCUGUAUUAAGGUUGAGGCUCACAUAAGCUAUUCAGAAGCAUAAAUUUCUUUUUCAACCUGAUUAAGACAUCAAAUUACCAUGGCUGCCUAAAGGGGCUACGUUUUAGAGAAAAUUUUGUUAUUAUCGGUGGGAGAGUAAAGUGGAAUGUUGGGGUGUCGUUGGAUGCAAUUGGCGUGGUUUCUAAAGGCCCUAGCGAAGCUGCCAAUGUGAGUUAGGCUUCCUCUUGGAAAUACGAAAUACGGAAGGGAGAGUGGAGCUACACGAGAAUGAUUUGAGAGUUGAGACGACCUAUCGAAUAAGGAGGAUGAAUGGUAAGAAUAUGACAAGAAAAUGGUUUGAGAGUGGAACACUACCCAUUGAAAGAGGAGGAUAUUGGUAUGAUUUUGACAAAUCAUCGGAGACAUUUCUUGUGGAAGAGAAAGUGUUUUAAUAAGCAAUAAUAUACGAAAACAUUUGCACUUAUAACUCGCUGCAUCAAUUAUUAUUUGUCAACUCAUUUUGAAAAUGAGAUUUGAAAAAUCUCUAUAUGCAUUUAACAUUACUUUUCCAUCCAAGUUUUGGUUCAAGAUGAAGGCAACUUAUCCAACUUAUAUUGAAAAAAAAGCAACUAAUUUUGAAUUACCAAGAGAUCCUCAUACAGCCAGAGGGAGGAAUACGGGAGAGUUAGCAUAUAAGCUUUCCAUAACCAGGGGUAAUCCGAGCAGCGGAUGUUGGGAUGUCAAAGAUUUAAGGUUGAGGGUUGUGUUUACAGAUAGAUUUUAGGUCCUGAGCCACUAUCAGGUUUUACUGCUUUGCCAACCCCACUGGUCCUUCCAAGUUAAGCUACAAAUUCAUGGAUUGGACAAAAAAGCUGGCACUCCCAUUUCAAGAUGAUGAUUUAUGCAGCAACGACACACAUUUGCAGAAAAACUAGAGGAUUUUCUUUUCCAUUUUAAACAGUACCCUGCAGAAAGAUAAUCUGUUGAAUCAAACCUACAACUUUCAUUGUUGCCAGACAGUAUAACACGUUUUAAAACUACAUAUGUGGCUUAUGAAAAGUUGGAAUGUCAUUCAUUAUAAGUAGAAAUCUACAAGUACAAAAUAAUAUAUUUCAGCACUAAUAUCACAAUGAAGCACAAGUAGCCACGAAUUUACAAUUGCCUGAUCAUCUCAGGAAGAAGAAAACAAAAAUUUAAUGACAGUAAUAGUCAAGUAGUGAAGAGACCAUCUGGAAGUUCACUCCGCAGCUGUAUUCUCACUGUUAUUUGCCUCAUUUCUGGUAGCUAGCAAAGUUCCCAAAUUCGUUUGAGCUUCUUUCAGUUCUUGAGGAGUUGAAGCAUCAGAAGAAGCAGUGGGAUUAUUCUGGGUUGCAUCAGUUUUUCCAUCUGUACUUGAUGAUGCAUCUGAUGAAUUUGAAGAAUUGUCCAAUUCCUUUUGAUCUGAAUUUAGAUUAGAAUUAGCAUUUCCAUUGUUAUCUGUGUAGCUCUGACGAGCAUUAUUGUUCUCAUUCUCACCCUGAUUUCCAUGGCCAUCGUCAUAGCUCUGAGCAACAUUGUUUUUGUCAUUCUGACCUGCAUUUUCAUUAUUGUGGGUCUGGGCAGCAUUGUUCUCAUUCUGACUUGAGCUUUCAUUGUUGCUGGUGUUGCUUUGAACAGAAUCAUUGUUCUCAUUCUGACUUGGAUUCUCAUUGUUGUUGUUGUUGUAGCUCUUAGCAGCACCAUUCUCAUUCUGACCUGCAUUUUCAUUGUUGUUGAUGUUGCUCUGAGCAGAAAUUUCAUUGACAUCCGAAUUGCUGCUGUCCUUUUGAGUAACAUCUUCAUUUGCAUUUGCAUUGUCAUUGGUGUUGCUCUGAUUGUCAGUGCUGCUGCCAUUCCCAUUUGCAUUUCCAUCAUUGUUGGUAUUGCUGCUAUCAUUCUCAUUCUGACCUGCACCACCAUUAUCAUUUGUGUUCGAGGUUGGUUCACUCUCUUUGGCAAUUGAAGAAUCAGAAGAAUGAACUUCCUCAUUCGGACCAGCAUUUGAAUUAUCAUUUGUGUUUAACGAAAGAACAUUUUCUCGUGUCCCCUCUCCUCCAGAAUUAUUGUUGGAUUCUUCGGUCUGAACUGUGUUAUCACUUUGGCUUGUAACUGAAUGUGCAGAAUUGCUGUCUGAUCCUGUCCAUGCAUUGGAGUUCUCAGUCUGUCCAUUUGAUUCAAAAGAUUCAGAGUUACUGGAGGAACUUGUAGAACCUCCAUUAGCUCCAUCCCCAUUCUCAGUUGAAGUGGGAAUUCUAUUUGAAUCUGAUUGCUCAUCAUUGCCACCUAAGUCAGAUUUCUCAGAUUGAACUAUAGCAUUUUCAUUCUGAGUUGUAUUGGGUGUUGUAUCUGUCUCAUUCUGGUGCUCAUCUGGUUCUAUAGCUGUCAUGAGAUCAGGAUGGAGGUCUUCUUUCAACUCAUCCUGAUUGCUCUCAUUACCACUCUCUUGAUUGUUUUCAGUUGUUUCAUUUUCAUGCACAUUUGACUCAUCAUGAUGGCCAUUGGAUGCUUCACUGCUAUUCAUUUCCUUCUCCUGGUUAAAUUCAUUUUUAUCUUUGUUUUCCAACUGCUCUGACUCAUUGGAAUUUUCUGGAUCACUUCCCUCAUUCUUGACCGCUACAUUUUGGGUAUCAUGGAUGACUUCACUCAAAGCAUCGUCCCCUUUGUAAUGUUCUUCUCUUGCUUCUUCAUUAUUCCCGUCAACUCCAUCAUGAACCUGAUCUUUUGAAGUACUUGAAUUCUCUAUCCCACCUCCACUUUUUUCUGCCUCUUUCUCACUGCUUUCCAUUUCAUUACUCUCUUCCCCAACCUGUUUAUUUUCCUUUUCUUGACUCUCCUUGGUGUUUUCUUUCUCUUCAUUAUUGACCUCUUGUGUCUCCUCAUUUGCCUUAUUUUCAUUUUCUUCCGUAACGGCUUCACUCUCCUUGUUUUCACCGUCCUCCUUACUCUCUUCAUUAUCUUUUUCUUUGCUCUCUUCUAUCUCCUUCUCUUCACUCUCCUUUUCCCCACUUUCCUUCUCUUUAGUCUCUUCACUAUCAUCGUUCCUACUUUCUUCAUUUUCCUUCUCUCCAUCUAUCAUUGAAACUUCUCCGUGCUCAGUUUCCCCUUCAGGUUUGUCAUUAUCAUGCUCACGCAUUGCAUCAUCAUCCCCAUUCCGGCUUCCUUCAUUUUCAGUUUCCUCAGGCUUGUUAUCUUGUUCUCCAUUCUUGCUUUCGUCCUCUUCUUCCUCUUUGUGCCUCGCAUCCUUAAUAGUUGUUUCCUCUGCUUGAGGAAUGUCCUUUCUCCCCAACUUUAAGACUUGAUUCCCAGAUUUCUCGUACACUGCUUUCUUCUCACUAGAGUGCCUAACUUGGUAAAGCAGCCAGAUGCAAACACCAACCAGAAGACAUAUUUGUAGAGCAUGCUUUACCUUGAACCCUUUGGAUCUUUGAUUCCUACGAGGUGAAAGCCUGAACAUGAUGAAAUCCCUUCAACUAACCUGCCGAAAAAACACCACAAACAUCAGAAUUCUUUAACACAUUUAUAAUUAGAUACACUUGUAUAUUUCAUCAACGAAAAGUUCACGACAAAGCAAUAACAGCCUCACAUGACAGAAUGAAUGUGAAAAGUCAAACAGAAAAUGUUUCUAUUGUUAAAAGAAAAUAUAUGCAAUGUAAAUCCAGAUCAUUCCAUGAACUAAAGCUCGAAUGGUAGUUUAUCAUGAACAGAACAGAAAAUUCACAAGCCUUCAUAAAUCAUAAAUGAGAAAAGCAUAGAUAUUCAAUUCAACUUUCCACUUUCCAUGAGGGAAUAUGGUUUGAACACACUAAUGAUAACAGUUACACUAAUCUAAUACAAAGGAAAUAGAAAAUAUAAGGAAGAAGAAUGAUGGCAAAAUAUUAUUAAAGACAUCAACGACACCAUUUAAACAAGAAGAGAUCAAACCUUAAAACUAAAAAAAAAAAAGCAAAGAUCAGUGCAUCAACGAUUCCAGAAUCCAGUGCUUAUUUGUAGCCUUAAUCAAGACAUAAAAUUCAACUCUUUUGUCUUUGAAGGUAAAAAGGACACAAAAUAUGAAGAGAUAAAGAUUAAAAAAAAAUUACAACUUUGAAAAUUCCACAACAUGGCUCAUUGAAUCGCUAAUAACAAAGUACAGUGAAACCCAAUCACAUUUUUCAUCCAGUAAUUCUCAAAAAAAAAAAAAAAGUAAUAGUAGAAAAGAAAUAAAAUGUAGGAUCCAAACUUGCAUUACAAUCUGAAACAGAUCAACUACUUGCAUUUAUAAGCAAACCCAUUUUAACACUUCCAAAUUAAAUUCAAAAAGCUUUCAUAGAGACUUACCCAGAAUCCAAACGAUCACAAAGAAACUAACAAAGGAAACCUCUUUUUUUUGGAGUGGGAAUUCUGAGAAUGGUAAUAUUUUCCAGGAAUUUGGACAAAAGUAGAAAAAAAAUCUUGAUUUCAAGAUUAAAAGCUAUGGUGUCGAUGCCAAAAUGAGAUUGGAUCUGGAAAUUGAAAAACAGAGUGAUUCAGACACCACAUAUAUCUUUGCAUCCGUGCUCCUUAUAAAGGAAUUUUAAAAGAUAUAUAAAAAAAGAUUUUAUUUAUUUAUUUAUACUAUAAGAUCACUCACAGCAAAUCUUUGCAAUUCUCACUCUGACCCGUUGUCCCACCUUUCACUCUCUUAAUAGAGCGUGAAUCACAACUAUUUAACUACGUCGUUUUGAUGAAGUUGUUUCUUGAAUCGCUAUCAGCUUGGAAGACAACUCAAUAUCGACAGGUGGUAAGUACUAUAAACUCUUUACUUCUUUCUUUAAAUGGCAGAUAAUUUGCCACGUGUUGACAUCGAUUUAAAAGUCGAUGGUCGGUCGUUUUAUCAAAACCUCCUCCUCACCCACACCAAUUCUCCUACUUUGCUUCCCAUUAACUCCGAACAAAAGGAAGGAAAAAGUCCAAAGAAAAAAGGGAAAAAGAAUGGCCUCGAUGCUUCUUCGUCAAACCCUGACCAAAACCAAACCAACUAGCGUUAUUCGCCUCUUCUCCACCGCAGCCGCCGUCUCUUCCCCACCAGCGUGUGAGGAUCCUACGGGAAUAACCAUGAAAGGUGUGAAAAUCGCGGGCCGUCCGCUUUACCUAGACAUGCAAGCGACUUCCCCAGUGGACCCUAGAGUUUUAGAUUGGAUGCUUCCGUUUUACCUCUCCCGUUACGGAAACCCUCACUCCCGUACUCACCUGUACGGUUGGGAAUCGGAAUCCGCCGUCGAAACCGCCCGCGCACAAGUCGCCGCACUUAUCGGAGCUUCCCCGAAAGAAAUCGUCUUCACUUCCGGCGCAACCGAAUCGAACAACAUCUCAAUCAAAGGCGUCAUGCAUUUUUACAAAGACAAGAAGCGCCACGUCAUCACGACACAAACGGAGCACAAAUGCGUUUUGGAUUCUUGCCGGCAUCUUCAACAGGAAGGUUUUGAGGUAACUUAUUUGCCUGUUGGGCCUGAUGGGCUUAUUGAUUUGGAUAGAUUAAGAAAGGAAAUCCGACCCGAUACUGGGUUAGUUUCUGUUAUGGCGGUUAAUAAUGAAAUUGGGGUGGUUCAACCGGUCGAGGAAGUUGGUAAAAUUUGUAAAGAAUUCAAUGUCCCUUUUCAUACUGAUGCGGCUCAAGCUUUGGGUAAGAUUAAGAUUGAUGUAGAGAAAUGGAAUGUUAGUUUAAUGAGUUUAAGCGGGCAUAAAAUUUACGGACCUAAAGGAGUUGGGGCUUUGUAUUUGAGAAGGCGGCCUCGGAUUAGAGUUGAGCCACAAAUGAAUGGAGGUGGGCAAGAAAGAGGGAUAAGGAGUGGGACUGUGCCUACCCCGCUUGUUGUUGGGAUGGGAACGGCGUGUGAGUUGGCCAUGAAGGAAAUGGAGUAUGAUGAGAGGAGGAUUACAGGUUUGCAAGAGAGGUUGUUGAAUGGGAUUAGGGACAAGAUCGAUGGGGUGGUGGUGAAUGGGAGUAUGGAUAGGAGGUAUGUCGGGAAUUUGAACUUGUCGUUUGCUUACGUGGAAGGGGAGAGUUUGUUAAUGGGGUUGAAAGAAGUAGCAGUGUCUAGUGGCAGUGCUUGUACUAGUGCCAGUUUGGAGCCUUCAUAUGUGUUGAGAGCAUUGGGUGUGGAUGAGGAUAUGGCACAUACUUCUAUUAGGUUUGGCAUUGGGAGGUUUACUACUGAGGAGGAGAUUGAUAGGGCAGUUGAGCUUACUGUGAAACAGGUUGAGAAAUUGAGGGAAAUGAGUCCGCUUUAUGAGAUGGUGAAGGAAGGGAUUGAUAUUAAGCAGAUUCAAUGGUCGCAGCAUUGAUCAAGUUUUGUAUUUGGCUGAGCCGUUUUUGGAUAUGAAUUACAUGUUGAAUGAAUAUUGCCUUUCAGCUAGAGCUGACUAAGCAGAGCCAAAAUUGUGUCACUUUAUCCUGGUUUUCUUUUGUUAUCCUUGUAAAUGCCUUGAGAGCUUCCGUAGUUGAUUUAUUAUGGAUAGCAGAUGGUAUAGUCGACACUGGGCUGGUGUUAGACUAAAACAUACUCAAUUCUCCUCAAACUUAGGCUUCUCCUAUUUAGAUAAUAGGAACAAUAAGAGAUGUUUCUGCUGCAGGAGCAAAGUUGUUUGUUAUGUUUUGUAACCUCUCAUCUCACUAUAUGUCGCAUACAAAAUACUAGCUACUACUUUAUUUUUGUUUUUUGUGAUGAAUGAAAUAUUUUGAUGAUUUUGGUAGUCAUCACUUGUAAUGAUACGCCAGUUUUGCUAGCAAUGAAACGAUUGCAAAGUCUCAGAUGAAAUCAAGCAUUGUAGAGUGGCUCAUCAGUCACCAUCAUUUGAGACCAAAUUUGUGAGAGAACAUUAUUGUCCAUUGGAUUCCACUCAUUAAACCUUUUGUACCCGUCCCUAGCCUUUUGAAUACAUUGAAAAAGUUCUGUUUGUUUUACAUUUGCCCCUUUUCCUCAACAAGUAGGUGAUUUGCUUUCACUACUGAUGAAUGUUGCUACCCUUUUAACCAUUUUGGGAAGUGUUAUUGAAUUGAAUUGUGAAGGUAGGGUGCACAAUUCUUGUACUUACAAGGGUCUGAUGUUGGUGUAGCUUAAUAGUGGUCUAUAGAAUGAUUGGUAUGACUAGAUCUUGAUGGUCAUUCUCCCAAUAAUGGUGUUAAUUUAAAGUGCGGAGAAUGACUUGGAGUAUAAUUUCCUAGCUGAUUGGGGGGACUAGGGAGACAACUUAAAUUUCUUGAGAUGUGCAUGGAAGGCACUAGGUGGUCAAGAAUUACACUUUUGAUUUUCACUUCAUAAUGCAUUAAGAUCAGCUAAUGCCAUACUAACUGCCUCCACUUGGUCCUUUAUGUUUGAUGGCUGCCAAUGCUGCAAUUAUUGAUAGUGAUGCAUAACCAUAAAUCUCUAAAUUUCCUCAAUAUGUCUUGUUGAGACACUUGACUACUCGAUCCAUUGCGUAUUAGUGUUUGUACUUGCUUACAGCCUAUGGAUAAAGUUGCAGAAAAGAUACGUUAUACAUGCUUGUCAUAUAGAAUGCGACCUGGCUCGCGAUGACAAUGACUCUAUGUCACCCGAUUGGUUUUGGGCUUGUUAUUUUAUAGAUUCUGGAGGAAGCCCUCUAUUCUGCAUGUUAGCUGUCUGGAUUAUUGCCUUAGAGAACUGAGACUUUUGCAUGAAUUCUUCAAAAUGGGCAAGUUCUGAGCCCAACUCAGGAAAAAGGAAAACAAUUUCCGAAGUUGUUAGCUCUCCAUAUGUAAAUGCAUUAUCUAUUUAUAUCAAACUUUUUCUAAUAGAAUGCCAAAUCCUAUCCCAUUCUUACCGUUUGAGUUAAGUCCAAUUUGUGGUUUUUCUCAAAACUUUGGUUUUGAAGGAAACAUUAAGCCAUAUUGUUAAACAUCAUUAAUAAAUAUUAGAUUCAAACAUCAGGUUCCAAGCCAUGCUGUGUGCUAUAUAAAUCUAAAACCAUCUAAGACAACUGGUAAACAACUUCACUGCAGGACACAAACCAAGGAUUGUUUAGGCUGUUCAAUCAUAAUCACUUUAGUGAUGCAGAUAUAUAGUAAUUUAACCAUAGGCAACUACGCGGUAACACUCGUUUCAUAAAUCUUGCUUCUCUUGGUUUAGAUAUUGUCUCUUUUUCAAGGAUGUUUAGGCUGGGAAACGACUCAGUUUAGGCACAGCUUUUACAAUUUUAAGCAGGCAUAAUACUUAAUUCUUUCCUUUUGAUUGAUGCUACCCAAUCAUCCAAUUGCUUUGGGAAAAUGACUGGUUACAUCAAGCACUGAGUCCCAGAUUCUAGAUUUUCACAUAACUUUGAUAUUUCAUAUUCAAGAUUCAUCUUGAUCAUCUUUCCUUAACGUUAUAUUUGGAAAUAUAAUGAAUAAAAAAAAUAAAAUAAAAAAGUAUAAGUACUCUUUUAUUUGAAUAAUCAAAAUUAAUAAAAGAAAAUAAAAGAAAGAAAUUUAACAAUCAUUAUUUGGAUGAACAGUAAAAAAGAAAACAAAAUAAUUUAUUAUAAUAUUUUUAUUAUAACUUUUUUUAUAAAAUAAUAUAUAAUAUACAAAUAUAUUUUUAUACUACCUAAUUUGUAUAAACAAAUCUUUUUAAAUAAAAUUAAAGAUAUUUAAUACGAUAAGAUGUAUUAAUUAGUUAUUGAUUUACUUUUAAUUUUAUAUUUAAUUCAAUUUUUUAAUUUAUUCUGAUAAUAAUUCAACUUAUUUUGUUAUUAAUACUUGAAAAAUUAUAAAAUAUUUAUAAACUACGAUGUUAUAUAAAAUACUCAUAAAAAUUAAUUUUAUAAAAAGUAUCAAUUAUAUAAUCAAAUCUAAUAUCAUAAUAAAAAUAUAAAUAUAAUAAUCUUUUUAUAAAAAUAAUUUUUUUCAAAUUUCUUUUCCUUAGUUUUUUUUCUUAAGUUGAAAUAUUUUAAAAAAUGACUAUUACAAGAAAAAUAAAAAAUUAUUGAGUUUUUACUCUUUUUUUUUUAAUUAAAAAUUUAUCCAAACAAAAAAAAAAAUUCUGUUUUCAUUACUUUUUUUUUUCCUUUCCCCUUCCCUCAAUCUAAACACAGUAAGUGCAUUCAUUUUAUCUGUAACAAGUGCUUCUAGUAUUUAUUUUGGACUAUAUUUGUAAAAUGAGGAUGUCAAUCUUGACGGGCUUGGUUUCAUGGCUGAUUUUUUUUAUCUGUCUUUAAGUUCUCAAGUUUAAUGGUGUUUAAACAUCGAAACAUAGAUGUUUAAAUGCUCUGACCAGUGGAUAUGGCUCCAGAGUUUCAUUUGUUCUCUCAUACUUCAGGAGAUUAUUAAAAUAUAUUAACCCUUUCUAUUUUUUCGUGCAAGAAGGGGACAUUUUCCUCAAAUAGCUAUUAGAUGAUCGUUCAAUGUGAAGAGAAGGUCAGUAUCAUUUUGCUUUCCAAGUUUAAAUCAAUAAUUGGUUGAACCAAAGAUCAUUACUUCUACUUGAUAAAUUGAUAUUCCUUUAAUAAAUUCCCUGUUCGAAUAAAUGGCUUCUAGGCACCUGGAAAAGCCCUUUAUAUGUAAAAACUAAAUAGAUCAAGCAACUGGUGAAUGGCACAGUAACCGUCGUUUCUGUUAAAUAUUCAUUCCAAUUUGUAGAAUCUCAUCUGCAAUUAAUCUUUCCCUAGGUGAAAAUUUGGUUGAGAAAAAAAAUCCAAUUUCAAAAUGGCCCCUGGAAAAUGUCUUAGCAGAGAAUGCUGUACCAUCCAUUCUGAUUACUGGUGCCUUUCCACGUCAUCUGGGAAUCGUAACGGUGACUCCUGGCCCUGCUACUGUUUCUGUACAAUGCAUUAAUUUUGUCCAUGAGUCGAGGGGAAAAGAAAUUUCAAUGACUGUUGGCAUCCAAGCACUUGGCAGGAAAGAGACAGGCUUUGGGAAUCAGAAUCCAUUUUGCUUUUGUGGGCCUCAGCCUUUUGCUUUUUUUUUCUCAGUUGUCUGUCUCGACCUUCGCCCCAAACAUUCUCUUUAAGCUUUGGACUUUUUUAUUUUCUAAGGACAUGGAAGGAGGUGCUGCCCCAUGUCCCCACGUGACUGUUGCAAAAAAAUGUACCUUCAUAUUCUUUCCCAACAGAUAAACAUUGCGGAGCUUUAUGGAUAACCCAGGACUGAAACAGAUGAUAAUUGAUGAAGGGUUGCAUUUGGAAUUUGCAUGUGCAGUUUCUGACGAAAACCCCACUGUAUUUUUCUAUGUUGUUUUCUUGAUGGAACUUGUUAUUUGCCCCUCUUCAGUUCAAUAUAAAAUGGGAAAACUUAUUUCGAUUCAAAUUCAAAACUUGUUUGAUACAGAAUUGUUCAGUUUUUUUUUACCCGAGAGAGUCAUUGUCCAGUCAGGUAUCAUCAAUGUUUAGUAAACAAAAUUGAAAGAAUGAUUAGCUUUGGCAGUUUAGAAACCAUGGUUGACAAGCAUAUCUAGGCUCAGCUGCUUGAUGCAGAGAUGUGCUGCUGUAGUUUUGCUAUAUCAGUUUCUGUUUAUUACUUUGGGUCUUAAAUCCUGUUAAUACCAAAAAGGGAAAAAUUUUCCAUUUUGUAUAGUUCAAAGCCCGAAACUGAAACAUAGGCAAAGGCACCAAGGACUGCAGCAGUGAAUGCCCUCAUUGCCCACAACCACCCAGGGCGCAGGAGAACAUAUAAAUUUUAUAGAAAGAAGGUGUAAAUUUAUCAAUCUACUCACAGGAGCAGUCCAAGUUUAUCUUUAAUUUUUCAACUUAAGAAAAAUAUUGAAUAGAAAAUUAUGUUAGAAGUUAUUCUACAGUUCAAAACAUAAUUUAAAAAAUGAUAUGAUUGGGAAAAACAAUCAUGAAUUAAAAUUUUAUUUUAUUUUAUUUAGUUUCUUAAUUAAUUUUAUUUUAUUUUUUUCUUUCAUCAUGGUAUAUUUUAUUAAAUACAGUAUCACAUCAUAAUUUUUUCCGUUGAUCUUAUCUUUUUCACUGUCAUAUUAUUUUUAAUUUAUUUUUUAAUUAUAAAAUUAUUUUUAACAAAAUAUUUUAUAUAAUAUUUCUCACCGUUACAUCAUGAUCAAAAUUGUUUUAAAAUUAAAAAUACAAUAAUAAAUUUGUUUCAAAAUAAAAAAUAAAAUGAUAAAAAUAUAUAAUUAAAAGAUUAAUAUAUAAUAAAUUUAAACCACUCACAUAAAAAAUUAUAACUUGAUACUUAAACUCAAAUUUAUAUGGACAACCUAACUUAUUCUCCAUGGGUAAUUAAUUAACCUAUGGAUUUGAUACCAAAUUGUGUAACUCAAUAAUUUAUACAUAUAUCCUCUCUCUAAUAAUAAAAUAGGAUUUUUUUAUACUAAGUUUCAGGUUAAUAAAAUAGAACUAUUAGUUAGAACGUUUAAACAAGGCAUAUAAUCAUAUAUUCCAAAUAAAAAAAAAACAAUAUUUACAUAAUGAAAAUCUCUAUAAAAUAAAAUUUCAAAGUAGAUAAAACCACUCUCGAUUGUAAAAACCUCUCAUGGAACAUUUAGUUCAUAGAAUCUUAAAUUUCAAAAAAAAGUAUGAUUAUAAAAAAAGUGUGAUACCUAAAAUUUUUUUGAAUUUUUAAGUCAUCCCGUAUUCAAAUUUGCUCAUUUAGUUGAGGAAUAUCCGCAUAUAUUAAUUAUUGUAUAAUUAUCAUAAUUUUUUUACCAUAUAUGAUGGUAAUUUUUUAUUUUAUUUUAUUAAUAAUAAAUACACAAAUGAUAAAUGAUGCAUUUAACAAAAAAAAAAACACAUAUUUUACUUAAUUUCUAUUUUUAUUUAUAAAAUAUUAUCAAUUGAGGUAUUUGGCACUUUUUUGUGUAACAUAAAUUGAUAGAAAAAAUUGUUAAAAAAAAUCAGUUAAUGUGUUUGUCACUUUUUUAUAUCAUGAAAAAAAUUAAAAAAUUUUCUUUAAUUUAUUUAUAAAAGAAUUACUUAAAGUGUUUCGAAAACGGCUUAAAUAAUUAUUUUAUUUUAUUUAAGGUGUUUUUUGUACAUAUAUACCUUAAAUAAUCAUUUUAUUUUUUUAUAUUAUGGAUCAUUCAAUAAUUAUUUUUUAAUUUAUAAAAAAAUUAUUUAAGGCAUUUUUGUAUAGAAAAUGCUUUAAAUAAUAAUUUUAUUUAUGAUUAAUAAAUGAAUUAUUUAAGAUAUUUUUUAUAUCUUAUGUAAUUUUUUUAUAAAAAUAUUAAUCUUAAAUCUUAAAAUAAAAAAAAUUAUUUAAGAUAUUUUUUACACCAAAUGCCUCAAUUGUAAUAAAAAAUAUUUUUAUAUAAAAAUUUACAAUUGAGUUUCAAUCAUAGAUUUUUUAAAAACGGUAAUAGUUAUUUUAUUAUUUUUAUUGAAAUCAAAUUUAAAAAUAAAAAUAAUUUUCUUCUUGAAAUCUUAAAAUAUCACAAAAAUAUAGAUUUUUAAUUUGAAAACUUUGGAUGUUAUUAAAAUUUUGAUUUUUUUUAUAAUUAAAUUAUUUUAAAAUAAACGUGAGAAACAAAUAUUCAUCUUUAAAAUUUUAAAAAAAUUAUGAAUUCUCAUUACCCAAACGCUAAGUGGCUAUGACCCCAUGGCUUUUGGUUCCUAGCAGCUGUUGCUUUAUCUCUUAGCUGCUAUCAUUCAGGAACUUGCUAUCUACUGUUUAUUGGAUUGAUUUAAGAGGCAAAAAUUCGUACCUGCGUACGUAAAGGAAGGUCUUGUUUAGUCAUGUCUAUAUGAAAGAUGCAUGAAUUUUGUAACAAAGCAAACAAGUAACAAAAAAAAGAUCGAGCAGAGAUAGAAAUAUGCUAAUGAAAUAUCCCAUCAAAUUUGAUCGUCAGCUUCUUCCGAAUCACCAUGAUUCUCUUUCUUUUUUUCUCUUCUAUCUUUACAUUUCCUCUUACGUAAAAACAGCUACCCUUCCUAGUACGUUUUACUCCUUUAAGUGGAAUACCUUUUUCGCUUCUCAUGCCACUGAUUUUUGCUCAUAAUUACUUGGCAUGCCAUGGAUUCUGCAUUAUUCUUAUCAUUGAGAAUUCAUUAUUGAUUAAAACCAAGAUUAAGUUCUUAAAAAGGUUGACAUGUUCAAUGAAACCCACUAAAACUUUUUGCUUUUGACCCUUAUUUUGGCAUGUUGAUAAGAUCACUUUUGAGAUUCCUGGCGAGCUGUUAAAGUGGGAAGGGAGAAGUGGAGAAGGAAAAGGAUUGCUAUUAUGGAUUUUCUUACACGCCAAGAAAUAAUAGAAAGAUGACCAAAAACAACUGGAAUCUGCCGUAGAGUUGUGUUGAGACAUGAGCUUAUAUAGAGCGCCUAGCUGAGAGAGUGAGAGGUCAGUUCGAUUUGUUGAUUUCCUAAUUAAAUUUUUGGUUCGGAAAACAACACUUCUCGAAGAGAUGAGAGUCGAUGGCGUGUGGUGAAACUGUGCAAAGCCAAAUCAUUGUCUGCUUUUUGAGCAAAACUUUUUCUCCCUGUUUUUCCCUAAUUUCUAGAUAACCCCUCCCUUCACUGUAGCUGCUUUUGGGAAACUUUUUCACUUCGCAAAAUAUAUGAUUGUACUCAUAGGUCAUAACGAUUUGCCGAAGAAAUCGUAUCUCUGUACGUAUGUGUAAACCGUAUACGAGUAGUCAUACGGUCCAAGGAGAAUCUGAGAGAAGAAGAACAAGACUAACUGAGCAUGCAACAUGAUCAUGGAAUAAUACUAGUCGUAUAUAAUUGCUUUUAAAGAUUCUGAUAAUCAUGAAAUUACAAUAAGAAUAUCUGAUUCUCACAAGCAAGAGAACAAUAGACAAAGCCAAAAAAAAUUACUAACAUUUGUCUUACACUGAUUUAAAUGGUUCAAAAACGGGUAUUCAAGAACAUAAAAUUCUGUUCUGGCGAACUAUAUUCAUCAGGGGUUGAAGAUGAAGUUCCCACAUUUGCAUUUCCAACUCAUCGGCUUGUAGUUGGAGCUGUAAUCUCCUCUUGCAUAGGCAACAUCAGAGAUUAAUGUUGAAGAAUUCCUGUUCCCAUUUCGGACUUGGGGAUUUGUUGGCACUUGAAUGGCUUCACAGUGCUCGCAUGAGCUGCACCUUCUCUCACACCUUGGCGGCCUUGAACCUAUCUGAGCUCUCAACGUCGCCUUCUCUUCAUUUACUGUCUAUCCAAAGUAAGAAGACAAAAGAAACAUUCUCAGCAUUCAUUGUAUGAUAAGAAGAGAAAGAAAUAUAGUUUUUGUUUUCAUUAAAGAUAUUUGACAGCAAUCUCACCUUGGAAAGGCUAUCAGAUUUGGGAUUUGGUCUACCUGCAAAAGCAAGUUGGAACAAGAAAAUUAACUUCAAAUUGUACCAAGCACAAAAAACUUUUCAAAACUUAACGGUUUUUAUGAAAAAGAUGAAUAAUUACCUUCAGCUUUGUAUCUGAUCACUUGGGUUGUGCUUAAAAUCAAGAGAAAAAGAAGGGAAAAAUAGCAGGGUCUCUGGCAAAAUACGAAACUGUGACUACAAACCAUUUUGAAGAAGAUAACAAUAGAAGGAAGCUAAAGAGGCAAAGGGUACGGAGAAGAAGAAGAAGAACUCAAUAGAGAAAAAGAAGAAAUGAGCCAAGACAGAGACUUUAAUUAUAUAAAUAUAAAGCUUUUCAAACAAGUAUUAAGACACUGAGAAUUUAGGAAGGUAAAAUGGCAAAUUUGGGAUAAAAAGAGAGCGAUAAGUUUAUAUAACAGAACAAGAGAGCGGUUUCAGUGAAUGAAUUGACAGCAUGAUAUAAGCGUUAUUUCGCUCUCUGUUGAAAUGAUGGAACGUGGAAGGACAAAUAAUAAGUUAUACAGAAAUCUAAGGAAAAAAAAAAAACCCAGAAAUGGGAAGAACCUUAUUAACCUCGAUUCUUGAGCCUUUUCCGACCUGUUAAGCUACAAUACCAACAAAGAUUUUUCAAACACAGACGAUUUUGGAGAAGCAAACAGAAGCAGGGCAGAAGAUAGCGGCAACGACAGUAAAGACAGAACCCUCAUAGAAAAGAAGGGAAUUCAAAAAAAGAAGAAACUAAAAGAACCUAACAACAAAGAAACACCAGAAACGCCACCGAGUUCCCACAAACGGACAUGAAAUAACAACUGUAGGAAAUUGGGUAAUUUCGCUUUCCUUUUGAUAUAUUAAUAUUAAAAUUUUUACCAUUGAUUUUGCUUUUUUGGAGGGAUUUGGUUGGUUUCUGAGCCAUUCCACCUCAUCACGCCAUAUCUUUUUUUUUUUUCUUUUGUUUCACUGAGAAAAAAGAGAAGGGGCAUAAUCUAAAUACGAUAUUUUCUUCCUCGGAUAUCUCUUUGUCUUCAAUGACAAUCAUGAUGGCUUAAUCACAUGCAAUGCGCCUGGGCUCAUGUCUUUUGCAUAAUUAGAUAUGAUUUGUUUUCUAUGAUUGAUCAUCUUUUUCCACUUCUCUUGGUCUUUUAUGGUCACAUGAAUGAAUGAUCGUAGGGAAUUUUUGUUAAUUUUUUUAGAUAUUGUUUUUCCCUUUGGUAUGUUAAUAUAUAAAUAUACAUAGGGCUAUAGAUCAUGUUUGGGUCCAUUGGAGCCCAUAAGAUAAUGGACUGACUAUUUGCACCAAAUGGUUAUGGGCCUCCGCUCAAAUUCUUAAUCUACCAAACAUCAUAAAAUUGCUUUUUAAAAAAAAAUCCGCGACAAAAACCUGAAAAUAAACGUUAAAAGAGAAACAACGAUCAACGUUCAGCAGAUAAAGGCGGUUUUGAUUCCUUCCUCCGUUUCUUGGAUUCCCCUCACGAUCUCUCUUCUUUAUUUUUAUUUUAAAGUCAUUUUGAUUGUGUAAUUUUACAAUGUGAUUCAGAUCUGAACCGAAGGGCUGAGAUUUUGAUCAAUGGCAUCAACAGCUCAGCUCCGUCUCAUGUCCGCUCUCCAAUACAUGAUUAACGAGCCACCGGAGGUUAAUUAUCUCAACUCAAUUACAUUUACAUCUUAUUAAACUCUUCCUAAUCACGGAUUACUUUAUUUUAAUUACAGGGAUAUGGUGCAAGUCCUUUAUCUGUUGAAUGCCUUUUCUUUUGGAGCGCCACAAAAUUUUUGGCCUCGAUAGACUCUCUGGGAAGGUAAUUUCAUCUCAAUUUAGUUUAGUUUAUUUUUAAAUUUUUUAUCUGCUUUUAAUAAAUUUGGAUGAAAUUCAAAAAAAUGUAGGAGGCAUGUUCAGUUUUGAGGUUAACAUUUAGUGAUAAUUUCCGGAAAGCCAUCCACGUGUUCGAUUUACUUCUGAAAAGUUGAUCAUAAUGGUUAGUUUUUACCUUUUUUUUUUUUUUUGGAUGAUGAUGUUGAUUUUAAUCUGAAAGCAAUUGCUAUAGAAAUUAGUUAUAAGGCUCUUAUGCUAUCACUAAAUUAAAAACAAAUUUUAGACAUUUAAAUUUGGUACGUACUAAUGAUAUGCAAACGAAUGACAGUUUUUUACGAGACAAAAAGAGUAAAAUUUAUCUUAUCACCUUCAAAAGAAAGGUGCUGACAUGAUGGCGAAAUCCGUCGUAAUGGUUGAAAUUAUCAAAAUUAGUUCUACUAUUCAUAUUAUCAAAUGGCAACAUUUGGAUUUCUUUCAAAUUUGAUAAUUGAGUACAAUGAUUGUUAAGCUUGGGAGUUAGUGAACCCGCAUACGUUAAACUUGAGAUUACUCUUAUGUAUAAUUUCAAUUCCAAAACAUUUUUGCAAUUAUUCAAUUGUCAAGGAUACAGAGGAGAUAGAGUAGCUAUAUCCUGCAGAGAUUUCAUUCAUUUAAGCUAAUUUCUGAACAUGGAUAUCUGCCAUCAUCUGAACUUUGUGAGUCUGGACAUGCAUGAGUGGGAGUGAGAGCAAAUGUCUUGGCUUCAAGGCCAGGGUCUAGUUGCAAAAUAACCAUCAAACGUACCUUUAGUUCUUGGAGUCUUUGGAAAUUGGUGUUCAGUAUCCCCCCUUGAUACAAUAUCGUUUUCCUUCUGUCUAAAGGUUCAGCAACUUUUGCCUCCUCACUUUGUUUUUUCAUUGUUCAUUUUUCUAUCGCACAAUGCUCUCUCCUUUCUCUGUACUUUAGGCAAAGGAAAGAAUCUCAUCUGUUGCUACAUAUUUAAAGGGAUGGUCUCUCCUAUUAAACCAAGUUGACAUGAUGGUCUAUGUUCUUCAAGAUAACGUUGCUUUCUGUUUCUUGCUGCUUUAUGCCAAGUAUAUCAACCUUCAAAUCCUUGUAAUCCUAGUUGAUUGUUAACUUAUGGAACACGGAUACUAAAUUAAUUCUGUUUGACCUCAAUCAUCAGUAGGUGGCUAAAUCGGUGGCAUCUUUUGAGGUUUGCUUGCCAAUUAGGAUUGAACUUUAUGUAGAAUACUUUUUCUUUGGCUUUCUCUGUUAAUCUCAUCAAGCUUGAAUACUGGUUUUUCUUUUACUUAUGUAAGAAAAUUCAAGAAAUUCUGAUCAAAGAUCUUUGCUUUCGAUAUUUAUUUGAUUUUAGAGGAGAUAAGCAGAGGUGGAAUUGAGGAUGUUUGGUGGAAAUGAAAAAUAAAAUGGAAUAUUAUGGAAAGAUUAAAAAAGGAACAGUGCUACGAACAGAUUUCCAUUAAUUUGAUGGCUGUCUCUAUUUUGGCUUUGUGACAGAGAAGGCAAGAGAUAAUGUCCUAAUACAUGAAUGCAAUAAAGAGAGAAACAAGUUAAAAGAUGAAAAGAAUAUUUUGAUAUUUAGAAGGGGGAAAGAGCCAACUAUUAUCAAGUAUACAAACAGAAAAUUUUGAUUUUUUGAGCUGAAGGAUUAAAAAAUUGAACAAAACAGGAAAUUAGAGAUGAUAUUCACUGACAACUGAUUUGAUGUACUUCUUGGUUUAAUUCCGUGACUCUGAAGACUUUGUAGAAUCAAUUUUUACCAAGAAGAGUAGAGGGUGUGUCUCACUAAUUUACUCAUUGACAUGAACUAAGAAACUUAAUGAACUUUAAGGACUUAGCCCACGUUGUUUACUUAUUCCCAUACUGAACACUUUAAAGUAACUUUCCAUCCUUGAGAUUAGAAGCAUACUCUGGACUUCUUUGCUAAUUUUCUCACCGUUAGUGCUCAUACUUUGAAUACCAUUUACUGUAUGAUUUCUCCAGUUUCAUCGCUUGUUCUCCUGGUCUAUAAAUGGCUUAUGCAGUUUAUAAUGAUGGUUCCUGUUUAUGGAUAUUGUUCAGGGCUCAGGAUGCACAGUCGCCCUCUCAUAAUGUGUCGACAAUUUUGACAUCCUUUCAGGUAGUCUAUUAAUUUAACACUUUUUCCUUUUUUUUAUUUUUAUUUUUUGUGUUGGUUUUUAGUUUGGGGAUGCUCUUCCUCACCUUGUAAAACAUCUAUUAGUAAAUUAAUUACUGCAGUCACUUCUUACCGACCCAAAUCCCACAAGUCUAGCAAAUCAUGAGGCUGCUUAGCUCAACUUUAUCAGCAUGAUAUCUGAGUUUAGAUUUUAAGCCAUAGUGUCCUCUUCCUGUAUUUAAAAAAAAAUCUGGGGAAAACAAGUUCUAGGUUUCUUCCCCUCCUUGUAGUCUCAUGAUAUGAAUAAGAUAUUAGAACAAGUUUUGAACAAUAGAUGGGAGUGAAAAUUGUCAUCUUUAUGGAAAAAGAAUUGAUUUAAGUAUUCAUAAUUUGACAUGAACUGCUUGAUUCUAAUGGCUAUGUAAAACAAUGGAGGUAAGAAGCGAUCAAAUUGAGGUCUGCAUACUGGAUCAAUACCACUCAAAAGGAAUCUAUUCCUGAUGGCUUUACAUGGUGGAAAAUGCUAUCUUGUAUGUUCCAUUAUAUUUUUGCAUUAGCAAGAGACAGAGAACAUUAUUUGGAUGGAAACCUGCCCUGGCUGGUUCCUUAAAGUUUAAUGCCGACAGGGGUGCUAGAGGUAACCUUGAUCCAACAGGAUGAUGUGGCGUGCUAAGGGUUUCGUCAGACUAUCUUGGCUAUGCUCUCUUCUCCCUUGGGAGUGCUUGAUUCUAAUAACGCUGAGUUAGUGGCUAUCAAACAUGCCAUGGAGGUGUUCAUAAAAACAGAGUGGCUCAGCAAGGUUGGUCUUAUAAUGGAACCAGAUUUAGUAUUGAUGUUAAUUGGAUCACCAAAAAGCUGGACAGGCCAUGGAGAUUGAGGAAAUUUUCUAAUGAUAUUGUUGGUCUUUACUUGUUAUUGUGGAUGUUACUUUUGAGAAGAUCCCAAGAGAAGAGAAUGGUGUUACUGAUCAUCUGGCUAACUUGGGUGUGAAUAAUAACAUUUUUUGAGCCUUGGUGCUGAUUUCUUUUAUUGCUUAUGCGACCACUGAUUGUAUUUUGUUUUUGCGCUUCUUAUCUUAAGUUCCUCCUUGUUGGGUGAUGAUUUCCGUCUUUGUAACAAUCUUCUCUAUUAAUAAAUCUAUUUGCUUAGCAAAAAAAAUAAUAAUAAUAAUAAUUGACUGAAAGUGUCUCUAAAACAAUUCUCCAGGGGAAUGAUCUUGACAUGCCCAUGUUUUAUGCUGAAAAUUGAAAACCAGGAAAAAGAAAUGAGAAUGACAAUUAUAAAGAUGGGAAAUAAACAUAAUAAUGGUGAUAAUUUCCAAGGCAUCAAAUUGCUGAUGAGAUUAUUCUGUUUCAUCUUGAUUGUGUGGUUAUGUGCUCAUCAAGUACAUAUAAUUUUCAGAGAAAGACAUUGACGUUAAUAGCUUUAAACAUAUGCUUAUAUUGUUCCUUUCCUUUUCUUUCUUCUUCCAUGUUACGUAGUUCUACAUCGUCGGUGGGUAUGCCACCAUAUUUUAUUAUUGUUUAUCCGACUUUGUCAAAUUACACAAUUUUAUUUUUUUGAAAAAAAAUUAUGAUAUGAAAAUAAAAAGAAUAAAUUUUAUAUGUUAAAAUUUGAAUUUUAAAUAUAUUAUUGAUUUGAAUAAUUUUGAAAAACCCGUUGUUGCUAUCGACUUUCAGAGGGAAAAGAAUGGAAACUGAAAACAAAGUUGAAGUUGAAAUCCAAGUUGCCAAUGGCCUUUCUUAAAAGAUUGAAUGUUCAAAACCUUGAAAGGACAGUGAGCAAUCCCACGUGGAUUUAACAAUAGAGUAACCAAACCAAUCUUCUGAUCAAUCGAAAACGAAAUAAAUGUCACCAAAAAGAAAAACGAAAUAAAUUGAGGUCAUGGACCACUUACCGUGAGCCUAGGCUGUGUGUUUUAGGUUUCCCCUAACCAUGCCUCAACCACAUUUGUUUGCACGGACUGUAACAUAUAUAGCAUAGGAAAGGAAAAGAUUCCCUCCCCCCCUCCUGCAUCCCUUCAAUGUCUGAAAAUUGGUUGGAUUAUAAAUAAAUAAAUAAAUAAAUGUACUUUUCAAAGAACUUGUAUUUGAAGAAUCAGAAGCAGCUUUGAUGUAGUUAAAUUGCUGUAAGAUGACGCUUAGAGUGUUGUAAGUUUUAGGGUAAUUGGAUUUUCGUUCUUUUAUGAAAAAAAAUAAUUAAGUUAAAAGUUUUAACUUUGAAUGGCCCGAAGGAUUAUAGCAAUGCUGCAUUGAAAUAAAAGAAGUAAAUAUAUGAAUUUAAAAUGAGAAAAAAUUUAAGAAAAUUGAAAUUAUCUUAAUAUAUAGUAUUCACUUUUUGUUUAUUAUUCAUGAGAUAACUACAAAAAAUUGAAAAAAAUUUAGCUUAAAAUCCUAUGAUAUUCCUUCAAUUUAAAAUUCUAGAUGAUAGAAUUCGUUUCAAACAUUAUUGAAAACCAGGCAUUAGCUUCGUUAAUCAGAUAUUGAGACUAAAAUUAUAAAUAUUCAAUUUUUUUUUAUUUUUUUAUUACAUCAAGAGGAUAAAGCUCUAAUGUAUUCGUUUAGUUUUAUUUGAUUUUUUAAUUGAUUUGGAUCAAAUUUAAAUAUUAAAUUUGAAUCGAAUUUUAAAUCAAGAUAUUAAAAUUGAACGGAACUUAAUUAUAUAUUUUUAUUAAUUUUUAUAUUUUUUUAAAUUUUAUAAAAUAAAAAAUUAUUUUAUAUAAAAAUAUAUUUAAAUAUAUUAAAAUUUAUUAAAAUAACAUAUACAAAAUUUAAAAACCGAUAAAAUUAAAUUAAACUAAUAAAAUUCGAUUUGAAUUGAAUUGAAUUGAUAUAAAAAAAAAUGUAAGUUUGAAUUCAAAUUAAAUUUUAAAAAUUUAUAAUAUUAUACAUUAUUAAAAAAAUUAAAUCAAAUUUAAUCUAAUUUAAAUCUUUAUUAUUUCUUAAAAAAAAAAAAAAAAAGAGAUCUUAAAUGAUUGCGCAAUUAUUUUAGCCAAAAAGUCUUCUGCAUGUAAACAGUAAAAAUGUUUGAGCAGUCUUUUUCAGGGCAAGUGCAUUUCCUUCCCUGCACGUGCAAUUGCCAUGCAACAUUAAAUGAGCUUCAGCCGUGCACUGUUAUUCAUUCAUAUACAAUGCACAUAACGAUGAGGAAAAUUAUAUACGGCUUGGAGGUCAGAACUUUGAUUGCAACAGAAAAUAAUAAAGUUAAAAUAAUUGUUUAAGCGACCCAACAUUUGACUUGAUGGUAAGUUUGAUAUUUUUAAUUAUUAGAAUAAUUUAAAUAGAAUUUAUUUUACAAUUUAUAUUAUUUAUUUAUACACAAAGACGAAAUCCUUAUUUUUAUAUUCUUUCUUUGAAUUUAAUUAAUUUAGAUCAUUUAAUACAAUCUUAAAAAAUGUUUAGAUAUGCUUUUUUGAUACUUAUUCAAUAAUUAUAACAUUAACAAUCUUUUUCAAGUUGAAAACGAUGGCAUAUGCCUUGCAAUCGAAUCAAAUUUUGAAUGCUUAAUUAAAGACAAAUUGAUAGUGCCUGAUUUGAUAUUCCACAAACUGUUAAGGUUUCAAAGCCAUGUCACUCCCAACCAUGAUCCCAUCUAAACCCUAAGGUAAAUAAUAAGAAAUAAUUAUUUGGUAAUUUGCUUAAAAUUAAUUAAUCCUCUCUUUGCUUUUGUACAUAUAGGAAAUAGAUUAUGUAAAAAAUAAAAAAAAAAGUAGUAGAAUGUCCUUUAUUUAUAUGAAAGACCUAAUAUAUGUUUGUUAAUUCUAUAAAAUUACAACUCCUAAUUAGUUAGUGAACCAAACCCAAAAAAAUGUAAUAAUGUUGUGUUUGCACAAGUCACAUGUUUUUAAUAAAGCUCAUUAAUUAGUUAGAAAACUAACCAUAAUUAAUUAAUAGCACUUGUGUUGGCCAAACAACAAAAUUAAGAGCACUUCACUUAAUUAGGAUAAGACUAAAUUGAUGGUUUAAUUCAAUUAAUUUAUACAAUUAUUAUUAAAGUUUUGUUUAGUAGAAAGAAUGGAAAGGGUUUGAGAAUGAAAAAUAUAUAAAUUUAAUGAUUAAAUUACAAAGUAAGAAAAAUCCGUUAAAUUUAUAUGGAAAGUAAGAAAGUAAUUAUGAAUUUUAACUAUUAGAUUAGAAAUUUUUUUAUCCUCAUUUAUUUUCCUUCAUUCUUACUAAGCAAAACCUAAAAAAUGAUAUAUAAUAGGUUUGAAAUUUAUAAAAAAAAAAAAAAAAAAACUUAUAUUAUCGAUCAUUUAAUUGAUAUAAAUAAAUAAAAUAUGCAUAAACAAAAACAGAGCAGUGUUGAAGGUGGUUAUAGUAUGCACAUCAUGAUAAUGCCAAUAUGAUUAUAACAUAAUUAUCCUUUCUUUCAAAAAAAAAAAUUGGGUGGAUACCUUUUUCUUAUCCAUUAGCAUGUGGGUGCCCAUUUUCUCAUGUCUAAGUUUUAAAUGGAUAAUAACAUGAAUGGAGAAAGACAUAUUAGCCAAAUUCAAUAAGGGAAGCAUUCAAAUCAAACUACAGAUAAUAUUGCAAAAGUGAUGAGAUUCUUCUAUUAUUUCCUUGUUGGACAGUGCCAAUCUUCAAGCUCCUCCCUAAACGGACCCCACAAAUUACUUUAGGUUCCUGUGAAAUUUGAAUAGAAGAGAAAUCCUCACACGAUUUAAUCAAGUUAAUAAGGUGCUGGUUUUUAUUUUCUUGGAUAAUCUGAUUGUUUCAUCCUUCAAUGAAUAUAAUCAUUCAUAAAAAUUGUUCCACAUUAUUAUAUAUUAAGCAUCAAACACUAAAAAAAUUCAAACAAAAAAUUAGCACUUAGUCAUUCAAAAAUCCGAUUAAGGGAAUUUUCAGCGUAAUAGUAAGAUCAGCUCAGAUGAAAUUGAUUGUCUAGCAAUUAAUGAAAUUCUAUCUACCAGAUAAUCAACACUUCUGUACAUAGAAGGAGAAGUACUGUUAUACAUAUAUAAAGUUUAAAUAUCCAUAAAAUCCAUGAAAUCAUGUGGAUGUGUACAUGAAUACCAGCCAUACAUCAAUCACCACCAUUCAAAGACGUAUAUACCUGGCCGAUGUUGACAUCAUAACUUUCAAAUUUAUCAAAACACGUAUAGUCGUAAAAUGCCCUCCAUUCGUGCAAUUGUUCUGGUCUCUGGUCCCCUUUAACCUAAUUCUAUCUAUAUCUUCUUAAAUGCUAAUGGCAUCCAACUUUAUGAAAACUACAGUCAAGCUGUAACCAUGUACAGUUGAGACCUUGCCGAAACUAUUCCUAUAUAUGUAAGAAAAAAUUACGGAAUCAGGAAACAUAAAGGGAGCCAAUCUCAAUUCAUAUGUCAUUAUUCACUAGCUAUAAUUUGUUAAAGUUUAUCAAAUUUAACCUUUGUAAUGAUAGGUAUAUUCUAGGGCAAUUGUCUCUUUUAUAUUAAAAAAAAAAAAAGAAUUUGUAUGAUCAUAUGCUUAUAAUAAUUUUAAUUAAAGUCAUGGGCAACUCCAAAUAGUUACUUUUACUUGAACAUAUAUAUAACAAUGUCACUAAUUAAUUUAUUAUCAAUCGAUUUUAGAUGUAAUUUAAUAAGUCUAUUAGAAUGAAGAUUAAAAAAAAAAUCAAAUCAGUUAAAUUAAUAAAAAUAAUUUAAACACAUAAAUAUAACAAAUGCCUUCCAAUAUAUUAUCAAAUUUUUUUAAAGUCGGAUACCCAUCUAAAAUUUAACACAAAUUUCAUGUCUUUCCUUUGUAAGUAUUUUUUUUCUUCUUAUUUUACUUCGUGAGCUUUUCUUGAAGGUUUAAUUAGCUAGGCUUAUAAUAACCUACAAAUUUAUAACCUUGUACAUUAAAAAGAAGAACCUUGUACAAGAGAAAAGAUAGUGGAGGGUCGAUAUUAAUUCGCUUCAUUUUCAAACCCUAAUUACCUAGGUUUCUUAAUUCUUAAGAGGUUAGGUUUUAUAUUUUAAGAAAAUACUAUGUAAUAAAAAAAGGCAAGUGUGGUGGGAAUUGGGAAAGUGAAACGCGGCGUUUUGUUGUUUUAAUUUACAAAAAAAUAUCUAGUUUUAAUUAAUGAGUAGAGAUGUAUUUAUAUCAGUGUAAGUGUUAUAUUUUUUUAUCAUUAAAUCAAAAUAGCUAAGAUAUAAAAUAUUUAUUUUGAUCCGAAUCCCAAAAUUAAAAAAAAAAAAGUGUAAAUGAAUCCUUACUCUUAAUCAAUUAUUCAUUUUAAUGAAGCAAAACGUGCCAUAAUUAUUGCACAGAUAUUAAUUAUUUUAACUAUAAAACUGUGUAAUAGGUGCAACUGAUCCUCGAAUUAAAUUAAUUUUCUCAUAAAUAUAUAUUUACAUUAAGUACAAAGUGUGGAUAGGGAUCAACUAAUAGCAUGGCUUUUCCUAUAUUAAAAUCUGUCACAUGCUCCAAAGUUUUCUCGUGGUUUCCAUGUUCUUUUAGUGGCACCAAGAGCAGUCCUACCAAAAUUUAUUUUAGUUGAUAAAUUUGUAAUUAUGGAAAUAAUGGUUUUAAUAUUAAAUUUAUAAGAUAAGAUAGAAUUAUUUGUUUAUUGUAUAAUAAUUCAAAAUCUGAUAAGAUAAUGUGUUUCAUUGUAAAUAGAAAAAAUCAUAAGAUUUAUUUUCUUAUUAUUAUUCCGUUGAUUCUAAUUUAUGUGGAGAGAUCAUUAAAAAUCUAAAAAUGAAAAAAAAAAAAAAAAGUAAAAGAAAACUGUAGACAACACUAACGGAUAACAUGCUGGAAAAGAAUAAAAUAACAUUAAAUAAAACCAAAAAUUUUCACCUGUUCCUCUAUGAAAUCUUUCUAUCAUAUGGCCCCAAAAUAUCUCCACCCACAUCUUAUAUUAGACACUAAAAUUAAUAAAAUAAAGUAAAAUAAAAUGUCCUAUCUUCUUUUCUUUGGAUUAGGAAAUUAUUUCUUUUUUUUAAUUUAUUACGUGAAUAAUACCUUAUGAAGUAAUUCAAAUAUUAUACUGCUUUCUAUAUUAUUAUCAUAAUUAUUUAAUUAAAAAAUUCAUAAAUUACCUUAAUCAACUGUAACAAAAUAGACCAAUCUUGUUUUAACACGUAAGCUUCCCGACUUUCUGACAGGCACAUCAAGAGAGGUCCCCACUAUUUACUAACCCAGUCAUCAAUCUGUCCUAUAUCCAAUUAGAAACCUCCACGUCGUUGAAAUUGGAGUUCUGCCUGUUUGGGCUCGGAAAUUAACAAAAAUUAUUGACUUGGAAACCACGUGGCAGCCAAUGUUUGGUGAAACCCAGGAUUCUUCUAUUUCAUUAUGCAAAGAAAGAAAAAUAAUCUCUUUGUCUUAUAUUUUUCUCAGUCUUUCUCUGGCUGUUUUGAAGCUUAAUUUGGCCCCAAUCGGUCAGGUUCCCUUCAAUUUGAUGGAUAACAUUUUUAUUUCGUCUAUGAACAAAAAAAAAAAAAAAUCAAAUGCCAAUCAGUUGCAUCUUUAAAUUAUGCUUAGGAGCUAGCAAUUAUGAGUUGAAUCCAGCCAGUCCCCAUUCCUUAUCAAUCACCAUCUCUUGGCUGUCCAAAGAUAUAUGAUGAGAGAAGGAUGAUUGGAUGAGAUUGGCUAUGGCAUUAAGUCCAAGGCUAGUUGACUAAAAUUUUUAGGCAAGCUUGUCGGUUAGGUUCAUGCCAAAUCAAUUCCAUGAAUGAAAUAUUGACCCAUAAUCUAAUUGAUAAGUAAUAAUUCACUUUUAUUUUUAAUCUUAAGGCAAUAUAUAAUUCAAAAAUCGAAUGAGUCAAAGAGUCGGGCGAUUUUAAGUACUGCUUAUAUAAAGUGUUAGAAGAAUUCAUAAUGUAAAUAUAUUUUGAUGAUGAUGGCACACGAUAAAGGAUAUGUAGGGUCAAAUCAAAUGUACAUUUACGGUGUUUAUGGACAACAUCAAAAAUUUAAAAAAAAAUUUCCUAAAUACUUCAAAAUUUUCUGUUGAUAGCCCUUUUUAUUAAUAAAAUUAAUAAAAUUAUAUAUAUUAUAAGUGAAUAUUCUAAAAAAAAUUAUUGGAUUCACCGUUGAGAAUAUUGACGAUUAUUGACAGUGAUUAAUCAUAAGGACAAAAUCUAAUAAGAAAAUAAGUUAAUUAGGUUUGGAAAUAAAAACAAAAGGAUGAGAAUAAAAAAAUUUUUGGAUAGAAGCAUAAAUUCAAGUCACAGUAUGGAUUUAAAAUAAAAAUUUAAAUUUUAGAUAUAUUAAAUAUCAUCUCGUAAAGUAUUUACAUGGAUCGAGUAAAUUAAACUCUAAUAUCAUAUAAGCAUAAGCUAUUGUAUGAGUUACAUCAGGUUCCGAAGGCAAAAUAACUACAGUUGUGUAGUAGGGCCUAAUGACGGCUUGCCAUUAGCUGGAUAGAAAGCUAAGCUGGUGAUGGCACUUUCCGUUUGAAUGCAGCAGUCUACAUCGACCGUCUCACUUUAAUCUCCCACCUAUAUAUAUACUACACUCCCAUGUCAUCUUUACAACAAACUUGAUCAUAAUAAUUCUCUUAUCUUUCUUUCUUUUCCUUUUUCUUCUUAAUUUACACGGCCAUGGCUUUAAGUAAUCUUUCUAUUGCUUUAUCUGUUGUAUCUGCAAUUUUCUUACGUUUCAGAACGACAGCACUUCUUGAAGAUUAUGUUCAAUUGGUCUUGAUUAAAAAAUUAGCAUAAUCAAGGGAGGGAUCCAUUUUUAUACCAAAAUUCAUUAACUUUUUUUCUUUCACUUAUUUUAAGUAAUUAAUAUUUAUUUUGAACUUAAAUUGGAUAAUCAUGAUAAACAAAACCAUAUGUAUAAUUUUUUUAUUCAUUUUUUUUCAUCUGUGAUUUGCUUUAUUUUUCGACGUCAGCUUAAUCAACUUCAUUCUUUUGCCGACCAUCAAAUAUUAUGUUCCUACAUUAAUCUCAAUGCUUCACGUUGUUUAUAUAUAUUUUCAGACACUGAAAAAUAAUUAAUUAGUUGGUUUUCAUUUUAAUUCGGAUUGCAGAUGAAUUCUGAUACAGAUACUGUAAGAGAUGAGCUGGAUUUUGAGUUCUUGGGAAACCGAAGUGGGCAGCCUUAUACUGUUCAAACCAAUAUCUAUGCUCAUGGAAAGGGUGACAGGGAACAAAGAGUUAACCUUUGGUUUGAUCCUGCUGCAGAUUUCCAUACUUACACGAUUAUGUGGAACCAUCAUCAUAUUGUGUAAGUUGGGUAAAAUAUUGGUAAUGGAAUGGGAGGAGGAAAACAAGAGAGAAAAAAAUAUCUAUCAAAUCAAUAAAAGUUGUAUCAACUUUUAAUAAGACACCAUAAAGUUUUACGUAUAAAGUCAAGCAUGAUUAAUUGGGAUGACUUUAAUUAAUGAUAUACAAGGAUUAGUUGAGUUAAACUGACAAAUGGUUAUUAUUAUUAAUGGGUCGUUGUUAAAUUGUGGUUGGUGGUUUUUACAGGUUCUAUGUUGAUGAAGUGCCGAUCAGAGUUUACAAGAACAAUGAAGCUAGGAACAUCCCAUAUCCAAAGUUCCAGCCAAUGGGAGUGUAUUCAACACUGUGGGAAGCUGAUGAUUGGGCAACAAGAGGAGGCCUGGAGAAAAUUGAUUGGAGCAAAGCUCCUUUCUUAGCCUACUACAAGGACUUUGACAUUGAAGGAUGUCCUGUGCCAGGGCCAGCAAACUGUGCCUCAAGCCCUAGUAACUGGUGGGAGGGGACUGCUUACCAAGCCCUCAAUGCCAUGGAAGCUAGAAGAUACAGGUGGGUUCGUAUGAACCAUAUGAUCUACAAUUACUGCACCGACAAGUCUCGAUACCCGGUUACCCCGCCGGAGUGCAUGGCAGGCAUCUGAAAUCUUAUCCAAAGUUCCAUAUCCAAACUCAACUGUCCAGAAUAUUGAUAUACCAUACGUUUCAUGUCAUACUCUACGUACACGCCUGCCUUUGUACAAUAAUAGCUAUAUAUGUUAUAAGAGAGCCAUGCAAAAAAUUGGGGUUAUUAUAAAGGAAAAUAAGUUAUUCUUGUGUGCAUAUAAUUGUGAAGUGAAAGGUAGGGUUCCUGGAAUGGGCAAAGUCAAUUUCUAAUUGUAGACAAGUAUUGUCUGUAUUUGGAGCAUAUUAUUUUGUGCCUAAUAAAAGCUUUCAUCAAAAGGAUAAUUUAUUAAUUUAACUCUUAUCUAUACUUUUUCAUGGCCAAAGGCAAAAAUCUAGCUGGCUUUCAAAAAAAAUGGUUGGCGUAUUUUAAUGGUUCAUCAUAAUGAUGCAAAACAACAAAAUAGAUUUAUUGUAAGGAAAUGACAGAACGCUGGAAAUUCAUUAGUGUUUGAAAUGUUUGCUUUGAAUUGAUUAAUGAAUGGUCCCCCUCUUUUGAUGCAUUGUAUUUCACUUGAAUGUUUGGCCAAUAUUGAUUCAUUUGGUACUGGAAAUACAUAAAAGUUGUUUCUUGAUUAAGCACGUGCACCACAUUCAGGGUCCCAGGGUGAACGAUUAGUCGUCGGUUCAUUGAUCUCGUCCAUAUAUAUUAUUUGUUUGGAAAGUACUUCAUUUCUAUGUGAGGUCUAGGUUAUGGCCUUUUUUUUUUUUUUUAAUCAUUGUUCGGGAAGGAGAGGAUGCUUAGCCAAAGAUUUAGCUGCAGAUUAAGUUUUGCAGUGAAUGACACAUGGGUUCAGAAAGGGAAAAAAAUCAGUACCACUGGCUUAAUUUUUGUUUUGGUCAUUUAAGUCGCUAGUUUAAUGCUUAUACAUGGUAAAGAAGAGGACAAAAUAUGGGCUAGAGAAAAGGACGACUUAAAUCCCCUCCUUUUUUGUCAUUCAAUCCACAAGGAGUUGUAAAUUUGUAAUUUCAUGGUAGCUGCUAACAUAUGAUAUAUUCAAAUACAUAUACAACUUGGGGAGAGCCAGCCAACUACCUUUAUUUUAUAGGUGUAUUUACUACGAUUUACUGUCCAGGGCCCCAAAUAAAUCAUGGCACGACCCCAUUAGUACUAGAAAGCAGAAACCAUCCAGUGAACUGUGAAGCAGCAGCAAAGCAGCAAUAUCAUCUGCAACUCCAUUCCCGUUCAAUCAGAUUCUAACAUGACUUCAAAAAAAAAUCAAGUGCAGAGAUGGAAAUUGUUCUCCAAAAAAAUAAUAAUAAUAAAGAGAAAGCCACAAGUCAUUGUUGGUCACCAGUCACAGUAAAUGAAACAGUUGAGUACAAGUGGGCACAAACCUACAUUGGAUUCUCUGAAACUGUUAGUCCUGUUUUAAUGCUCUUCAUUACAGCAAAAUGGAAUGGAUUUUCAGUAGCUGCGUGGACAAAAGAAGCUUUAAUCUUUUAGAGUUUAUGGUGCCUCACCUCAGAAGUUUAGCUGCUUUGGCCAUUACGAAAUUCACAGGCUCCUAUAAUUUUAAUCUUCCCCUCAAUGAGAGGAUCUCUGAGAAGGAUAAAUCAGCUUGGGAUCUUUGGUAAGAACUAAUAAAAUCUCUAAUUCUUUGUGGUAUUGAUUUUGACUGCAACUGGCUCUGAACAGUACGGACAAUGACCAAACUGAACAUUGAAUGACCUGCAACACAAGCGAACAACCAUAAAUUAAACAACCAAGUUGCCAAGGAAAAAGAAAGAGAAACCCAAUGGUAAACGUGGUAUGAUAUGAAGUGAAAAAGACGCCUAGUGCUAGUUUAGCCUUUCAACAGCAUUGAAGAUCAGUUUCCGCUAAUAUUUUUUCAUAAACUAAUUGCAGAUAAUCUCACAUCUCAAAAUGUUAAGAUAAAUUUGAACAAUUCCUUGGGAAACUUUUAUUUCGAGUGUUUGGAAGGAGGAAAAAUAUAAUAACAUAACACAAAUCUGCAAAUCAGCUAAUAAAAAUGAGGGGCAUGCACAAGCAAUGAGAAAUAUUGGAAGCCAAUCCGAUUUACAAUGUAUGGAGAGACUGUACCCUGAAUCAAAUAACUGAAAGAGUCACCUGUAAAUUGACACAAAAAUGAAAAGCAAAAAAGCUCUUUGUCAUCAACUUAUCAAACCUUAACGCUAUUCAACCUUUUCCGGUGAAAGUAGCCCCAAUAAUUUAUUGGACAAUGUAUUUGUGCCUUUAACAGCUUGGUAAAAAUUGCAGAUGCAUCCAAAUCCCAGAAGACAUCCACAUUACAUCCAAUCUAUAUUGCCCCUCCAACUUUCAUGUGGGUCCCCUCUCAUCACAGGUUGUACUACAGUACCUAGUUGAAACUAAAGAAUAUGAGGUCAGGUACAGUGGGUCCAACUUCUGCAAAAGGGCACUCGGUGUACUAGAUCAAUAAGACAUAAACAAGGACAUGAACAAGGAUUAAGUGACCCAACUUGUUUGCAGGAUUGAUCAUUCGAGCAGAUAGGUAGCCCAAUUCCAGCAGCAGGAAAUGCCACAGCAACCAAACAAUUUUCAACUGAUCACAACACGUAGCAGAUAGGAAAUAAAAUUACACUCCGGUAUGAACUAGAUUAAAAUAUACAACCACUUUAAGAGCUCGACAUACUGCCUUUUCAUUGUGAUAGAAUGCAACCCGUCCACUAGGCACAUACUGUGGAAAGCGUUGCUGCAACUGUUAUUCUCACAAGUGUAAAUCAGUCACAGUUCCACUGCUAGGGCCGAACCCAUCACCUGCAUGAACAUUUUAGAGUUAAGUCUACAAACAAUAGUUCAGGAACAUCUCAAGCAUGUAAAGCAUUACAAAUGGGGAGAUAUUAAGCAUAACAGAUUCCACAUUCAACUAGAUGAUUGUUCUUCCCUUCAUCAGGGGGCCUUGGUGGCUGGGCCUUCAGAAGACACUCAAGAUUCUAAGAAAAGGGUUUAUCUCUCAUCCUACGCAAUUAAUCAGACUAUCUGACUAUGUAAAUACAAUGAGCAUAUCAUAUUAAAUACACUUUUUAUUAAAAAAAAUCAUAUUAACAGUGUAAAUUGUAUAUAUAAUAUCAUAUAUAUGUAGUUAAAAUUCUAGUAUAUUUUCAUUUCAUGUACACUAUAUCUGGAUUCAAAAUAAUUAUUUUGUUCCUUUUUUUUUCUAUCAUAAAAUUAGCAUAAGGAAAUAACUUGACUAAAAGCGAAAAAAAAAAACCUUUAUAAUUUAUAUGAAAAUUUAAACUAUACAGUGAGAAUAAGUGGAUUACAUAAAGAGAAUUUUGGUGAAAAGUAAUAUAUUUACAUAAAUAUUUAAGAAAAAAAUAAAAAAAAAUACAUGAAGGUCUAAGCUAGUAGUUUACAUAAGUUACAUGUAAAAAAAGGGGGGGGGGGGGGCCUAAGAAAACAAGAUACGUGGAAAUUUUUCAAUGGGCUGAGAGAUCUUUUGCAAGCCAGCCCACUGGCUCAACCCUUUAUUUUACUUUGAUAACCUAAACUCUGCAAAUUAAGUAGAAAUAGUAUAUUUACCACACCAAAAACUUGACAAAGCCAUGCAACCAAAUUAACCCUUAAAUAUACUCCAAAAAAAACCCUUAUAUAAAUUAAAUUAAUAUCAUUUUAAUGUAUUUUAUUUAUUAAAAUUCAAUUAGUUAAUCUCAAAAAAAUCUUAUAUUAUUAAAUUUUAAUUUAAAUUCAAUUAAUUAAUGUAAUCAUAUUUAAAAAGUGAUAUUUAAUAAAUUUAUAAUUUAUAAUUUUUUUAUUUUCAAAUUACGGUAAGUUAAGCUAAAUAAUUAUAUUUUUUAUACUUAAAUUACAAAUUAAAAUACAAAUAUAAAGUAACUGACAAUCAAAUCAAUCCUUGUUAAUAUAAUGUGAUUGAAUAUUGUCGUAGCUAGGCGGCCAGUCAGGUUCAUAAGAAACCUGACAAACAGAAAGAGAACAUCAGAAAAAACCAACCAUACCGGACAAGCAUAUAUAGAAAUAUCAUUUAAUUGUAAUUUUCAUAUUUAAUUUGUAGAAGCUUAAUUAUCUCUCAUAUCACGCGUGGUAUUGAUGAAAACAUUUAGCAGACAAGAUGAAAAUAAUAUAAUACUCUACUCUAGUUCUAUGCUUUAAGGUUGUUUGCUGUUUGUUUUCAGCAUCAGCAUGCAUCUUUCAUGUGAAGAAAAGUUAAUUAUGAUUAUCAUAUCUUGUCAUCAUUUCAAUUCAAAGGGUAGGUUUGCACUAGAUUAAUUACAAGGGACAUUAUGAUUGAUGUAUCAGAGAGAGUAGCUAGGUUGGCAAAUGCAACUUAUGAUUCCAUCCUCGUAAUAAAAAUUGAGGAGCUUGGGGAAAUUAACCUCCAACUUAAUUUCUUCCUUUCUUCUGCCUGUUAUGGAGAGGAUUUGCUCCUGUUGGCACACCUCUCUUGUCCUCCAAAGUGUUAUUGCAAGAAAUUUUGCAGAAUGAAUCCGUCUGGGAGAAAUUGUAAGUUCCAGGAGCACCGGCUGGAGCUCCAAAAUUUGCAAAAAUCAAUAGAAUCACAAGAAGAAAUGUAAUUGCACCCAUACUCAUCACCAUUCAACAAAACUCGACCUCACUUGUUGGAUUAACGAUUAUUCAAAAGCAUGAUCAUGAACCAUGACAUGACGGUAAGAUGUCUAGAAAAGAUCUUCACUAACCAUAUUAAUAUAUAGCUGCUGAAGGAGGCACUUCUGAUUCUUGAUGAAGGAAGACUGGCAUACUCAAAAAAAGCAGCUUGAAUUAAUCUUGUUUUAGACCCCCUGAAGGAAUGAUUCAGCUAGUUAUCAGGAAGUUCAAACAAAAUGGGAUAUCAGAAAAAGCCUUUGGGCGAUCGAUGAAUGUUUUGAAUCUUCAUUUCGAUGUCUGGUUCGUCUUAUGGACAAGUUUUUUGGACAGUAGUUGCUGUUGUACUUGGCUACCGUUUAACCUUGAAUGGAUAGCCAGUGGACAGAUUAUAUACAACCAUAUCUUCUUAACCAAGUCCAUUUUGUACUUUUGUCUGAGACACUCAGAAGUCCCAACAGUUGCACCAAUCUCGAUAACAAUCUGUCUAUUUACAGAAAACACCUGAAACACACGCCUGAAUAAUUGUUAUUUAUAUAAACCUUGGCCUUGUUCCUGGUUUGCUAUAUCCUUUGUCUCUUACUCUCAUUCCAUUUACAACGUUUACUUAUUGCUGGUUUUAUCUCUAGGAAAUGAUUUCUUGUUCUCAUAAUAACUUAUCCAUUUAGACCUCUUUUAAUUCAAUUUUCAACAAAUAAAGUUCCAUAUUCAUGUUCAAAUUAACAAAUUGUCCAUCUUAACAUCUCCUUCAAUCUUUUUCCCUUUUUUUUUUUAUAAUACCUUCAAUAUUUUUCUUAAUAUAAGAUCACAUCAUGGAUAUAUAAGAUCAGGAAAAAAAAACAAUAUUUGAAGAUCAGGAGAGCUUAAAAUGACCAAUUUUCUUUUGACAAACACCUCUUUCCCCAAUUUUUGUGGAAAGUGCAGAAAUUUAAUGCAGAAUUAUUAAUAUCCUUCUGUCUUUUCUCCAAUAAUAUAUUUUUUUCAUUGAGAAAAAGACAGAAGUAUAUUUUAAUUCUCUUGGUAGGAUACCUUAAGGAAAUUAAACUUUCUUGGUAGGAUACCUUAAGGAAAUUAAACUUUCUUGCGAGAUUUCAUUUUAGAAGAGAUGAUCAACAUUUGACUACUAGAUUACGUACCUGUUUUACAAGUAAUAAAUACCCAAUUAUCAAUUUGACGUGCAAUUUAUUGGCCAAAAAUAAUUGACAUAGAUAUGUAUCUUGGAGCAGAAGAUUUUGUUUUUGAUAUAAAAAAAAUCACAAUUUAAAAAUAAAAGAAAAAGGUUAGAUGUGUUAAAAUUUAAACUCCAAAUAUGUUAAAUAUCAUUUAUUAAUAAAUAUUCUAAAAAUAUUUAUUAAGAUGAUAAAAAUAUUUUUAAAAUUAUAUACACUAAUUGAUUAUAAUAAUAUCAUAAUUUUUAAGCAUUUGUUUUGAAAGAUAUAUAUAUAUAUAUAUCUAUCGCAAAAAGCCUUAAUAUCAUGCUUAUCAACAAAAAAAUAAAAAUGCUACAUGUGAAGCAAUUUGUUUUAAUCACCUGAAAUUAACUGUAAAAAAAAAAAAAAAAAAAAAACCGAUAUCCUUCUUUUGGAUCUAAAGUAUCGUUUCGUUUCAUCAAAAAAAAAAAAUCGUCAUGGCCCAACCCUCCCCCUCUAGCCCGUUGGAUGGGGACAAAACGAAUUGGGCCGUGACUUUGUGGUUCAUACUAUGCCCAACCCAAAUCCACCAAUAUUUAGUAUUUGCCAUAUUUUCAGAAACCAAUAUUUUAUUAAUUUAUUAUUAUAUGUAUUCAAAAAUGGGAGAAAAUCCCAUAUAUACAAGUAGAAAUUCUGUGGAUAAACGAGGGAAGAAAUUAGACAUGGAGUGAAAAAAAAAAAAAAAAGAGCCGAGCAGCAAAUUCAUAGAGCUUUCAGAGCCUGUUGUUCACAAUUGAGAGAAAUGACGUUAAAGGGUUUUUAUCAGCUUAAUUAUUGGUAUUUUCUGCAAGUCGUGUUUGAUUUUUGACCAAAGAAUCAUUCUAGGAAUCUUCCCCCAAAUCUUUCCUUUGAGCAUACUUUUCAAAGAUUUUUUUUUUUUUCUUUCAUCGGCAAUCCAAAGCUUCCUUUUUACAUUGGGACAACAAGGUUUGGGGAAAAAAAAACAGUAAAAAAAAUUUAUGAUGAGGAAGUUACAUCCCAAUUUCAUGAUGGUGAUGUCAUUCCCUGUUUAAUACCACUAAAACAAAGCUGAAAAAGCUAAAAAGAUUAUGGGGACCCAUCAAAGAUAAUUGGAUAUCAGAAAUGGUUGCAGGCGUGAGUCCCUGAUUAAAUCUGAUUGAAACUGUCUAUAAAGACUACCAUAAAAGGUCUUUAUCUAAGGUUUGACAAACUGCCUUGUCAAGUUUUCAUUCUUCUGUUUACAUUAAGUUUUUGGUUGAUUGUGGUCCUCCUUUCUGUAGGACUGAUUCAAGGUAUAUUAAUUGGAUUAGUUUCUUCUUCCUGUGUCUGUUCCGGUCAUGGCAGGGCGAGUCACGGGGCCAUCCAAAUGUUGUUCAUAUGUAUGAUUUGGUUUCCCUUUGGAUGAUGCGUUGAUAUGUAUGAAACAUGGCAAUGCCACAGUUCCCCCACCAAUCUUUUGGAUGUCAUGUGUUUGACAGUGCCAGCUUGUUGAACGAAACGCUAAAGGGCCCCCAUGUUCAUGAUUUGAUUUGGAAUGCUUACAUCACAUGCCAUGCUCUUUUCUUGAUUUUCUCUCACUGCAUGUUAUCCUUUCUCAAUGCAAGAAAAAACGGGUUAGGUUUGAAUGACAGUUUCUCUUGUUUACUUCUUUUACGGGUUUUGUAGAAUAUGAAAAUUUCAUUGACAGUUGACGCAAGAUUUGAAAUAGUUAAAAGAAUAGUAAACAUGAAAAUCAAGACUCCAGCAAUAUUCUUGCAUUCACAAGAUUGGAUAUGGAAUCUGAAGAAAAAUUAUAUCAGUAUGAUAAAAUUUUGAAGAUUUAUCAUCUUCAUGACUAAUUAACUUGAAUUGGAGACAAAAAUGCAGCCGAUAACAUCAUAAAAAAGAAACCUGUUAAACUAAACCCAGUUAAGGAACAAGUUUAAAAGUCUUGUAGAAUUGUCUACAUGGAAGCUAUAUUUUCAAACGACGACAGCUUUCAGUCUGUAAUCUUUUGCUGCAAUCAUGUAUAUAAUUGAUAUUUUUUAUGGAACAAAUUAUUAAAGCAAUUUCAGCCAAAAGGCCUAGUCAUCAUGUCUUUUCUCCUUAUCUUGUCCUUCCCUUUCAUGGGAAGAAAAAUAACCCCUUGAAAGUGCCCAAACAGGAAGACAGAGUCCCUAAAAGACACAUUAUUAUAUCAACAACAAAGCAAUUUUUUUUUUUUAAGUUGGAAAAAAAGUAAUAAUCUUUUAGCUAUGAAAACCCAUGACUAUAAACAAAAACAUGGGCCAAACAAUUUUUUCUUUUUGUAUAAGAAAGAUAAGAGUUUGAGAAUAAAAAAAAUUAUAAAAGUUAAAAUUUGAAUUUAAAUUUAUUAGAUAUCACCUAUUAAAAAUAAUUACAUAAAUUAAUUAAAUAAAUUUAUGAAUUAAAAUAUAUCACUUUAGUUUUAAGUAUGAUUUUAUCGAAUUAUUAAAUAAGUUGAAAGAUAACACAAUUUUACACCUGCCGACGGACUUUACGACAUUUAAAAUAGUUAGAUAGAGGCUUUCAAAAAGCAAAUCCUUCGUGUCAUUAAAAAAAAAAAAUCACAUGUUAUUGAUAUGAUUGAGUUUGAUUUCUCAUCUCUACUAGAGUUAAUUUAUGUAGGGCAUAUCAUUGUUGAAGCAACAUGGACCUUCCCCGAUUCUCCUUUUGACUUUAUCGUGCAAUCUUAUGCUCCAUAAAUAGGAAUUUGACUAAGUUUGGCAGCAAGUCAUUUUAACCCUCAAUUAUAUUUUUGCUUUUAUAUUACUCCUAAUCCCCUAGGUCGGCUCUAUCAAUCCCACUUUUUUAUCACGGAUGAGUCAGGGUCAGGUCUAGUUUAAUCAACAAUAAUCAUGAGCUAAUUCCCUGCCUAACCCUAAUCAAGAAUCUGGCCCCUUUUAAUCAAAACCAACUACCAAGUCGGUUUACGGUUAAAGUCUAGUAUAUUUAAUUCAAAAGGCUAAAGACAAAUUAAAUGAGGAUAUUCUAUGAGUGAGCUUCAUGAGAUUUACAUGAACAUUUAGGUAAAAAAAAAAAGAAAUUUAUAAAAAUAUUUAGCUCAAAAAAAUUCAAAUGAUUAUUUUUUUAAUUGAUUGCUGUUGAUAUCGGUAAAUAUUAAUACUGCACUUUUUUAAAAAAAAAAAAUUGAAGUAUAAAAUUUUUGCCGUUUGGAUUUUAAAUAAAAAUUUUUUUAUUUAAAAAUAAAUAAAAAAACUCUAUCCAAAUCCGAAAUGCUAUACAAAUCAUCGUUUAACACUUUUUUUUUUUCCAAGCAUAUCAACCAAACUAAAUAUAAAUAAUUUGAUCUUGACCUUUUUUUUUUUUUUGGAAAAUGGCUGAUGAAAGCUUGAUUGGUGCAGGGAAGAAAUUGCACUCAAGGUAGCCAUAAUUGGAGGGGGAUGUCAUUUAAUACAAAAAACACGUAGGUUUUUGUUUUUUAAUAUAUGUUUUGCUGUUUCAUUAUAACCAGAUCUUGCUUGCAUUAAAAACCAGCUUAGUUGCUAUCAAACAUUAAUUGGCGAAAAAUAAUACAAAAUAAAUAAUGCAAAGAUCUGUUUGAUAAUACCAUAUCCAACUCUUUGGUAUCAAAAACAAAAGCUUCAUGGACCGACAAAUCAGCCAACACAAGCCACAUGUCUUUUGGGGUUUCAGUGUUUUAGGUAUAAUAACGUUGGCACAUACGUAAGGCAAAUCUUUAAUCAUGCAAGAGAGGAAUUAUUUAUUAAUUAUUAGUAUUAGAAUUGGGAAAAUUUUUUAUUAAUUUAAAGGAGAUAUGUCAAUUUUCCCACUCUAGAAUUUGCUCUGUAAUUCCCCCCACUUGCUUAGCACCCAUAGACAAAAAAACAACUCUUCUUUGAAACUGCCAAAAGGAGUAGGAAUAACAAAUAAUAAUCCUUUGGCGAACGUCAAAUGAAUAAUUAUUUUUUAUGCUUCAAGUUCAAAAGAGGGUUGAAGAGUUCAUAUAAUGAUGAUGGCGAUGGAAAAAAAUGGGUGAUGAAAGUGAUGAUGAUGAGGACGAGAACGAGGGAAGCUGGAGUAGUUUCGUGGAAAGUCACCCUCUCUUUCCAGGAAAGUGCUCUCAUCAUUUUCUUGGUCCACACCAUAAUUUUAGGCCAUCAAUCACAAGAAUGAAAGGGAAAAAAAAAAAAAACUAAUACUAUUUUUUUAUACACAAUACCUUACCCUUGUUAUCAAUAAUUUUAGAUGAAUACACAUAAUAACAUAACCAAAAUUAUUUUGUUUUUUGUUUGAGUUCGUUAAGAAUGCACUGUCUGGUAUCAUCAUCAAUGGAAUACAUUCAGAACUUAGAUAUUAGUGCUUAAUACUUAUCUAUUUGCUAAGGAGAGAAGUUUCUCUUAAUUCAUGUUAAUGACCACACCAAUCAUGAUAGCGUGCAUAUAACGAAUACAUGUAUUACUUGCAAAGUUGCAAUAACCCCAUGACAAAAAGACCUUCCACUUGAACAAUAGAUCAUGAAACCUAAGAUAGGUUCCAUUAUUGCAAAGUGGAAUAUCUUGCUUUUGGGAUGAGAUUUGGAAUUUUAAUUAGAACAGUGGAUUUGAGAAAUGAGGCAAAGGAGGGGUGGUCGCUAUGCCUUUGGGGCCCAUAUAAUAGAAGGGUCGUCCUGUCUGACCUUCAUGGAAAAUCUGCAUGAUGAGAUUGUGAGAAAAAUAAAAGAGAUGAGCCAUUGGGACAUCACGUGGGGCAUGGCCUACCAGUUCCCUUAAAGAGAGAGCAUCUCACGAGACUAUGGCUAGGCCUCCAAUUUUCCCUUGCUCGUUUCUUUUUUUUUUUUUGUGGGUUUUUCAAGUGAAUCAUCCAUUCCUUUCUUUGUCUACACGCCUCUCACCACCUAUUUUUUAUAAAAAAUUUUCUUGACAGUCUCUCUCUCUCUCUCGCUUUCGAGCUUUUCUCUUCUCAAGUAUGAAAACAAAUUAAAUUAGAGACAAAUACACGUGAGCCAACCUCCUUCUCCCCACAACCUUUUCCUCUCUCACUUAAUCAUAUAAUUCAUAACCUCCAAAUGAUUUAUCAUUAUCCCAAUUUCUUCUUCAUUUGAGACACCUAAAAAGGUGGGCACUAUUUCAGCAUGAAAGUGGGAUGACCCAUUUGUACUAUACAUUCAAAGAAAUACAUUAGACGAAGUUUCAGAGC